rnacentral:rRNA from 1 species
AGUGAACGCUGGCGGUAGGCCUAACACAUGCAAGUCGAACGGCAGCACAGUAAGAUCUUGCUCUUACGGGUGGCGAGUGGCGUACGUGUGAGGAAUACAUCGUAAUCUACUUUUUCGUGUGGGAUCACGUAGGUAAACUUACUCUAAUACCGCAUACGACCUACGGUGGAAAGCAGUGGAUCUUCGGACCUGGCGCGAUUGGAUGGGCCGGUGGUGGGUUAGCUGGUUGGCGGGGUAGUGGCCCACCAAGGCUAUGAUGGGUAGCCGGCCUGAGAGGGUGACCGGCCACAUUGGGACUGAGAUACGGCCCAGACUCCUACGGGAGGCAGCAGUGGGGAAUAUUGCACAAUGGGCGGAAGCCUGAUGCAGCAACGCCGCGUGCGGGAUGACGGCCUUCGGGUUGUAAACCGCUUUCGCCUGUGACGAAGCGUGAGUGACGGUAAUGGGUAAAGAAGCACCGGCUAACUACGUG